rnacentral:rRNA from 1 species
AACGAACGCUGGCGGCAUGCCUAACACAUGCAAGUCGAACGAGACCUUCGGGUCUAGUGGCGCACGGGUGCGUAACGCGUGGGAACCUGCCCUUAGGUUCGGAAUAACUCCCCGAAAGGGGUGCUAAUACCGGAUAAUGUCUUCGGACCAAAGAUUUAUCGCCUUUGGAUGAGCCCGCGUUGGAUUAGCUAGUUGGUAGGGUAAAAGCCUACCAAGGCGACGAUCCAUAGCUGGUCUGAGAGGAUGAUCAGCCACACUGGGACUGAGACACGGCCCAGCCUCCUACGGGAGGCGGAAGGGGGGAAUAUUGGACAAUGGCGAAAGCCUGAUCCAGCAAUGCCGCGUGAGUGAUGAAGGCCUUAGGGUUGUAAAGCUCUUUUACCCGGGAUGAUAAUGACAGUACCGGGAGAAUAAGCUCCGGCUAACUCCGUG